rnacentral:ncRNA from 1 species
UAAUGUUGAGCCAAACUUACUGUGAAGUAAGGACGGAAAGCCACGGGUCUUUCUAAGAUAGCCGGGUUGCCAUUU